AUAAGUCAGAUUCGAUUGCCAAAAAUGCCAAAAAAGCCUUCCAAAACUUGGAGAUAAACUGAGGACCUCUGUCCGAAAUUAUCUUAGCGGGGGCAAAGUGCAAAUGGUAGAUAUGUUGAAUGAACAUUUUUGCCAACUUGGGGGCUGAAGGGAUAGUAGAGCAA